GUGAGCCUUAGCACCCUGCAGGC
rnacentral:piRNA from 1 species